rnacentral:tRNA from 29 species
GCCGAAGUGGUGGAAUUGGCAGACGCAACGGACUCAAAAUCCGUCGCUGGCAACAGCGUGCGGGUUCAAGUCCCGCCUUCGGCACCA